rnacentral:tRNA from 1 species
GAUAGCUCAGUUGGUUAGAGCGCACGACUGUUAAUCGUGAGGUCAUGAGUUCG